UACGUAGGGUGCAAGCGUUAAUCGGAAUCACUGGGCGUAAAGCGCACGUAGGCGGCUUACUAAGUCAGGGGUGAAAUCCUGGAGCUCAACUCCAGAACUGCCUUUGAUACUGGUGAGCUUGAGUCCGGAAGAGGUGAGUGGAACUGCGAGUGUAGAGGUGAAAUUCGUAGAUAUUCGCAAGAACACCAGUGGCGAAGGCGGCUCACUGGUCCGGUACUGACGCUGAGGUGCGAAAGCGUGGGGAGCAAACAGG
rnacentral:rRNA from 1 species